CGAACGCUGGCGGCGUGCUUACCACAUGCAAAUCGAACGGAAAGGCCCCUUUGGGGGUACUCGAGUGGCGAACGGGUGAGUAACACGUGAGUAACCUGCCCUUGACUUCGGGAUAACUUCAGGAAACUGGGGCUAAUACCGGAUAGGAAUCCUUGCUGCAUGGUGGGGGUUGGAAAGCUUCGGCGGUUUUGGAUGGACUCGCGGCUUAUCAGCUUGUUGGUGGGGUAGUGGCUUACCAAGGCUUUGACGGGUAGCCGGCCUGAGAGGGCGACCGGCCACAUUGGGACUGAGAUACGGCCCAGACUCCUACGGGAGGCAGCAGUGGGGAAUAUUGCACAAUGGGCGGAAGCCUGAUGCAGCAACGCCGCGUGCGGGAUGACGGACUUCGGGUUGUAAACCGCUUUCAGCAGGGGCGAAGCUUGUGGUGACGGUACCUGCAGAAGAAGCACCGGCUAACUACGUG
rnacentral:rRNA from 1 species